CCUCUGCAUUAAAGUUGACACCCCUCAUUUUUUUGCUUUUGGUUUUAAGCGUUGGAAGAAGUUGGGUAUGUUGAGAUUGUUCCACCGAGUGACGAUGUGCAGUCUGCAAAACGAACCAAGUCUGGAAUUUUUGAGGCUAGACCAAAAUUGAAGAAACAAAAGCUUAGGCUAGGGAGCAUACUCUCGGAGCGGAGACAGAACAAAGAGAAAUGGAGGUAUAAUGAAGAUUUGGAGCAGGAGGCUAAAAUAGAGGAUUCAGAAGAGGAAGACUUGUUAGUGGAUGGAUGCAUCAGUGAUUACAGUGGUUCCUCUGAUGACAGAUACGAGAGUUAUUAUUGGUUUGAUGAGUUUGGGAAAAGGAUUUGUUAUAUCUCUUUGUUGCUUUGAAUUUGUGAGGUGUAAAUAGUGAUGUCAAGUUGUCUUCUUGUUUCUACUUUUAAAAGUGGUACAAAGUAUGCUUGGUAGAUGACAAAACAGAGGAUGAUCAGGUAGCUUUGCUGCUAGACGUGCUUAAAUGUGACCAGUCCGAAAUUCACUCUAUUUAUAAGUAUCAUACUCCUGAUCUGUUUAAAGCUCGCAUGACCUAGGAAGAGGCCGAUGGCGUUGCUGGUUGGUUCCUCUGCCCUAUCUUCUUGACUUUCCCCUUGGACAAAAUACCAGGGUUAAAGUUUGUUUUUUCCCCAUAUUUUUUGAGGGUCCGGAGAAGUUGAGUUCGUGGAGCCACGUAGCUACGCCAUAUUCCUUAAUUAGGACCUAGGCUGUCUUGCGAGUUGAUGAAAGUGACCAAGAAUGUCUCAAAUUUUAGUACUAACUAAUAUUCAUAGCAUUGAAUAUAUACUGAAGGUUAUCUAUAAAGUUUGCAUUUUAACCU